rnacentral:rRNA from 1 species
UACGGGGGGGGCAAGCGUUGUUCGGAAUUACGGGGCGUAAAGGGCGCGUAGGCGGCCUUCUAAGUCGGACGUGAAAUCCCUCGGCUUAACCGAGGAACUGCGUCCGAUACUGAAAGGCUUGAAUCCGGGAGAGGGAUGUGGAAUUCCAGGUGUAGCGGUGAAAUGCGUAGAUAUCUGGAGGAACACCGGUGGCGAAGGCGGCAUCCUGGACCGGUAUUGACGCUGAGGCGCGAAAGCUAGGGGAGCAAACGGG